AGCGCGGGUAUCAAGGUUCCUCCGGCGGCGGCAGCAGCUACAGCAGCUCGAGCUCCGCCGCGCGUCUGCGCCUCCACACUCACUGCCUGCAGCGCGCGCCGCCGCGCCGCCGCCGCCCGCCCCAACGGUCCCUCAACGGCCGCCGCGCGCGCCCCGCCUCGCCCGGCCCCGCCCCGCCCGGCCCGCGCGCCGCCGCACUGCGGCUCCCACGGAUCCCUCCGCGCCUCUCUCCGGACUGUCGGGCCCGCGGCUCUCUCACUCCUCACAGAGUUGGGCUUAUGGUCGGCCGCGCGCGCGCGAGCGCACCCGUCGCGGGACUACUUUCCGUCGCCAUGCGCCCCGCCCCCUGUGCCCACUCUACAUUCCUCCUCGGCGGAGGGGCACUGCUCGGCUGGCGCGUGAUGCGUCCCUGUGUGACACGCGCGGCUAUUGGGUCCGGGCCACGGCGGAAAUAAGAGCGCGGUGCCGAUUGGUCUGGCCUUCCCUGCAAUGCGUCAAACUGGGGCGAGCCACUGUGUGGUGGUGGUGGGCAGGCUGAAAUGUGUGACUGUGUGGAACCGUGAGGCGUAACGAGGAAGGGAAAAUUGUGUGACUGUUAGAGAAGCAAAUACAUCGUCUUCGUGGUCAGGGAAUGGUAAAAAGGAUGGCGGAAGGUGCAGAAGUACUUUCUUGGUUCUCCCCUCCGACAGAUGGAACAUGGUGCAAUCCAAAAUGCUGGUCUGGAAGCCCCGCCCCCAAAUGGGCCCUCGGGGUGGCGGGGUCUUCAAGGUUCAGCUUUUAGCCUGAAAGUUCUGCUCUUCGGCCGUCGGGGCAGGUGUCUUCACCGUGAGACACACUCCACAGUUGUGCGAAGCCCCUGUCCUCGCUUCACUUCGCUUAUAAUCGGUUCAGGGUCUGUGAAACGGGCUGUUCCAGGACAGCCCUGGGAACAAGACCACUUGAGUCUUGCACUCCUUGUUCCAGGGUUCCAACCACAGAAGGAAGAAGAGUGGGAAAGUUAGCUGAGACUAUUUACUGGCGCUCAGAAACGGCAACACCCCCCCCACCCCGCCCCCUAACUUCUCUUGUUUUGAAUUAGGGCUAUAUUUGCGUCUGUGCUCUGCCCCCUCUCGGUGAUUGGCUGACGAGUGUCAAGUGAGUCCAGCUGGACCAAUCUUUAUGUUACACCUGGAACAGGAUGUAGGCUGAGCCAAUGAGAGGCCUUCCUGGGUUUUGGAUCUAGACUUUUGGGGGCAGGAAGUCUUUUCCUUCUGUGUGGUGAGGCUGUGAAGAAAUAGAUCUGGACCUAUCUAUGCAUAUUCAAAAGCAGAGACAUUACUUUGCCAACAAAGGUUCGGGCCCGCGGCUCUCUCCUCCUCACAGAGUUGGGCUUAUGGUCGGCCGCGCGCG
rnacentral:lncRNA from 1 species